UGGCCUUGACAUGCAUUGCUAAACCGGUGAAAGCCGGCGAGUGUCGAAAGACACACCUGUGUACGCUGCUCUUGCGAGCUCGUCAGGCUUUCACCCUUCUACUACUUGCAUGUCAAGGCCAGGUAAGGUUCUUCGCGUUGCAUCGAAUUAAGCCACAUACUCCACCGCUUGUGCAGGCCCCCGUCAAUUUCUUUGAGUUUUAAUCUUGCGACCGUACUUCCCAGGCGGCACGUUUAUCGCGUUAGCUACGCCACAAAAGGGGUCGAUUCCUUUUACAGCAAACGUGCACCGUUUACGGCUAGGACUAC
rnacentral:misc_RNA from 1 species